AACGCUGGCGGCGCGCUUAACUCAUGCAAGUCGAGCGAGAACCAUGGCUUCGGCCAUGGGGACAGCGGCGAACGGGUGAGUAACACGUGGGUAAUCAACCCUCGACACUGGGAUAGCCCGGGGAAACUCGGAUUAAUACCGGAUACCCCAUCUGGCCUUCGGGCCGGCUGGAAAAGGUAGCUUUGGCCUCCGGUAGAGGACGAGCCCGCGGCGGAUUAUCUUGUUGGCGGGGUAAAAGCCCACCAAGGCGACGAUCCGUAGCUGGUCUGAGAGGACGAUCAGCCACACUGGGACUGAGACACGGCCCAGACUCCUACGGGAGGCAGCAGUGGGGAAUCUUGCGCAAUGGGCGAAAGCCUGACGCAGCGACGCCGCGUGAGGGAAGAAGGCCUUCGGGUUGUAAACCUCUUUCAGGAGAGACGAAGCCACUCGGGUUAAUAGCCCAGAGGGUGACGGUACCUCCAGAAGAAGCCCCGGCUAACUACGUGCCAGCCGCCGCCGUAAUAC
rnacentral:rRNA from 1 species